GGGCUCACACAAGCGGUGGAGGAUGUGGCUUAAUUCGAGGCUACGCGAAGAACCUUAUCCUAGAUUUGACAUGCUUGAGAAUCCCUAUGAAAAUAGAGAGUGCCUUCGGGGAGCUCUUGCACAGGUGCUGCAUGGCUGUCGUCAGCUCGUGUCGUGAGAUGUCGGGUUAAGUCCCUUAACGAGCGAAACCCUUAUCUCUAGUUGCCAGCGGGUAAUGCCGGGACUCUAGAGAGACUGCCGGUGUCAAAACCGGAGGAAGGUGGGAUGACGUCAAGUCUCAUGGCCUUUAUGUCUAGGGGCUGGCACACGUCCUACAAUGGUACGGACAAACGGACGCGAAACGCGAGGUGGAGCA
rnacentral:rRNA from 1 species